CUGACCUUUCCUGAGACGGACUUGGGAGAUACUUUGUGCUCUGGUCUCAGCAGUAGUGCUGAUAGUGCUUUCCCUGAGCUACCUGGCUAAUUUUUUCCUCAUAGAUUCCGUGAAACUUGAAAUUGUGUCCAUUUCCCUAUGGGUAGUUGGCAAGCUUGGAGCCAAAAGUGUUGGUUUCUCAACCAAAUGCCAUUGUGUUCCAACCUUAUUGCUGGCUUCCUAUUAGUGACCUCCGAUUAUGUGCCCUUUGGCUCAUCUUUUCUUAUCUCUCAUAGGUUUUUAUUUUGCUGCGUUAGAGGAAUUUUUGUAAAUGGCUCGAAGUGGUCUUUGGAUCAAGUUUCUAGAGUCACUAAAAGUAAACCUGGCAAUGCCUCUCAAACGGACAUUCUCUUCUUAGUGAC
rnacentral:lncRNA from 12 species